rnacentral:tRNA from 1 species
GGGGCGCUAGGCCGCUAUGGAGGCGGCGCGGUCCGUAAAACCGAUGUCAUUGUGACUCUCCAGGUUCGAUCCCUGGGCGCCCCA